rnacentral:tRNA from 1 species
GCCUGGCUGGCUCAGUCGGUAGAGCACUCAACUGUCAGUCUCAGGGUUGUGAGUUCAAGCCCCAUGUUGGGUG